GUCUCAAACGAAAUUGAACUGCAGAGCUGCGCGUACGCACACUGCGCACACGCAAACCGAUAUAGUUUCGCGAGUGAUAAAAAAUAUUGUAUUUGUAUUUCACAAAAACACUGUGAAUUGUGAAUAUUAAGCAUUAGUGUGUUUUGUUCCAAUAUAUUUAUUGCAGUACUGUAAUAGGUAACUAGUGAUAAUGACGUCGCCAGCUAUUACCAAGUCGCCGGAUAACCAGAAGACAGACAAGAAGUCGCCGACGCACUCGGCGGGUAGCGCGGCGGCGGUGGAGCGCGCGCCCUCAAGGGCAGAGUCCCAGGCCGCCGCCCCCGCGCCGCAGCCCGAGCCCUUCAGCUGGCUGCGGAUCUUCAAACUCGCAGACCUCAUGAUGAAGCAAGGAUGCUAAACGCCAUUGCCAUAGACAACAAUUAUGUUCAGAGUAUUCAAGUUGAAUAAUUAUAAUAGCAAUAAUUCAAUUACUUAGGUUAAUAAUGGUUUAUCAUGUCUUGGCGGAAUGUGAAGUCGUACAUUCCUGUAGCUGUCGUUUGUAGGUUAACAUCAUUAUAGAAUUGUGAUUAGGUUGUUUCGGUUUUAUUAGUAAGUACCUAUACUAUUCAAUUAGUGUUGAAAAUAUUAAAUUUCCUCUCAUCUUUAAAAACUUGUUACUUUUUCUAUAGGUAUAACUUUAUUCAAUAAAUUUUAAUAAAUAAGUUAUGAACUAAA